AGUGAACUGGGUCUGUUUAGCCUUGAGAAAAGACGACUGAGAGGGGACCUGAUCCAGGUUUAUAAAUACCUGAGGUGUGGCGGCCAUAGCGGUGAGGCCAGUCUCUUUUCAGUGGUACGUGGAGACAGGACGAGGGGAAACGGACAUCAGCUGCAGCAUAGGAAGUUUCGCACGAAUGUGCGUAAGAACUUUUUCCCGGUGAGGGUGACGGAGCACUGGAACAGGCUGCCCAGGGAGGUUGUGGAGUCUCCUUCUCUGGAGAUAUUCAAGUCUCGCCUGGACGCCUGCCUGUGCGACGUGGUGUAGGGAACCUGCUUUGGCAGGGGGGUUGGUCUCGAUGAUCUCUAGAGGUCCCUUCCAACCCCUACAGUUCUGUGAUUCUGUGAUUCUGUGAGAGCAAUGACCUGGCAGAAACAACAUUCAUAAUAACUGUAAUGCUACAUAUUGUUACUAAUUUCUGCAGUGAUUAAUGAGCGCUGUCACAGCUCUUCAUCGAUAGCCUGUAAGCCUGAGAAGCAUCUUUGAGGUGAGAUGCUGCUAGUUUGAAAGAAGAAAAUAAAUCUCUGCUGCACUCUCUGGUUGCAUAUGUAUGCACUGCAAAUGUUACACUGGAGGUCUUUAAAAUCAUCACUAGAAGGACAAAGAAAACUUCACAGUGAAAAUGGUGAUUUAUAAGAAGAGUUAAUGAGAUAGAAAAAAACAGCAGCUUCUUUCCUCCACUUCCAGUAAAAUGAGUUCUUUUAAGACCCAACACAAAGCCAGGAGAUUUUCACUGACUUAUUUGGGCCAAGCCUCUCUUUCAUUUUAGUGUAAAAGCUACCUGAUCUGAAGAAAAGGCCCAUAUAUUGCACAAGAUUCCUCAAUUCACAUUCUUUUCUCAUUAUUAUUCACUUGAGGAACAACUUUUGGUCCGGCUUUGUUAAGCUGUUGACAGAGAAAUCAGUCACUCCUCAGAAAAAAAGGAAUGGAAAUGAGUUAUUUCUAUUUUCUCCCAGUGUUUAUGUGAGCUUACCCUUAAGCACUUACCAGAAUGAAAGCUUUUCAUCUAACACUUUAAUUCUGUACGCCUUUUCCUGGGACUCAGAAAAUAAAAUAAUAGGGGCACUUAAUGAAAGGAAAAGAAGAAGCACUCCAGGAAACACUCCAGGACCAGUGACCACGGAGAGGGAACAGUUCCUGCUGAAGAUGAAUCUGAGAGAGGUUCUGGAGGGAGCAGAAACAAGUGGUAGGGAAGGUAUAGUGUGUUCACAUAGCUUCCCUCACUCUAUGUUGCAAAACUGUGUCACCCCAGUCCUUACCAGAG
ensembl:lncRNA